rnacentral:snoRNA from 1 species
UGGGCCUGUGAUGACAACUGACGGCGUACGAGUCAGGGACGAUGAAUACAGCUCUGGAAGUCUGAGGUCCGG